rnacentral:sRNA from 1 species
UUUACAAAGUCAUACAAUGAGUGUUUGGUUUAAGAAAGAUUUUCAUAUUUAAAAGAUUUUCAUCUUGGAAAUACAUCAAGUGAAAAUUAAAUUCUUUUGGGAAACAUUUUCCUUCUGAUAUAUUAUACUUGUAAUGGGCGACAUGGCAAACAACUCAGUUGCUUACAGUGGUGUGAAAAACUCUUUGAAGGAAGCUAAUCAUGAUGGAGACUUUGGAAUUACGCUCGCAGAGCUGCGGGCUCUCAUGGAGCUCAGGUCCACAGAUGCAUUACGAAAAAUACAGGAAAGCUAUGGAGACGUCUAUGGAAUUUGCACCAAAUUGAAAACAUCUCCCAAUGAAGGUUUAAGUGGAAACCCUGCAGAUUUAGAAAGAAGAGAAGCAGUGUUUGGAAAGAAUUUUAUACCUCCUAAAAAGCCAAAAACCUUUCUUCAAUUAGUAUGGGAAGCAUUACAAGAUGUCACUUUAAUUAUAUUAGAAAUUGCAGCCAUAGUAUCAUUGGGCCUUUCUUUUUAUCAGCCUCCAGAAGGGGAUAAUGCACGUAAGUAAAUGGGGGGAAAAAAGACAUGUCUGAUGCUAGUUCAGCUAAUUCAUUUAGUUAAUGCACAAUAAUAAUAGCUGGCCAGCAUUUAUUGAUGUUUGCUAUGUGCUAGGCACUGUUCUAAGUACCUUAAAUAUAUUAUCUCACAUAACUUUCACAGUAACCCUAUGAAUUAGAUUGUGUUACCUCCCUUUUACAAUGAGGCACAGAGGUUAAAUAACCUACCCAUAUAUGCUUACUAUGUGUCUGGCACAGACCUAUGCCAUGUAUAUGACAUGGUCUUUGCUAUCACAGUUUUUAAGUUUUUUUAGAACACUAUACUGUGAAACAAUUUC